AAAAAAAUUUAAAUAUGUAUAUUUUAAUCGAGCUCGAGUUUGAUAUUCUUAUCCUAGCUGUUUCCGUUGCUUCUAAAAAAAAAUAUAGAAUUAGCUUGCAAAUAAAAAAUGACAAUUGAUUGAUUUCUUUUCAAUUCAGAUAUUUACCGUAUAAAAGAAAACGAUAAAAUAAAUAAAAUAGCUUCGGAGAUCAACAAAACCACGGUUGAUGAGCAGUUUAGCACAAGAAUUACCAAAUAACAGCAACCGUUGAAGAAACGAUACGUCGUACGUAGAGGGCGUAUGUGCAAAAUUCCUUUUUAACCUUCCUCCUUUAUUAUGUUUGCAGAAAUUAAUUAACUUACCAGAAAAAAAAAAUGCCGUUUUUUUCAAAACUUUGACAAAGGAACCCAUUCCACUGUGACCGUCGACUGGAUCGUCGAUAUGAAUAUGCGAAUCGAUAAUAAAAGUAAUUCAAAUAAAAACACAAACAAAAUGAAACUAGCCGUUAGGGCUCACAAAUUCAAAUGCACAACACUAAGUUGCCCGUUUGCUUUUUCAUUAAAGAGGAAGAGAAACAAAUCUCUUCUUCUUCGUCCCCAUACCUGCAAAAUCAGUAGAAGCCGCUCUCUCUCUUUCAACACUCCUCUCUCUCUCUCGGAUACUGCAUUGUUCUUAUCCUGGGAUUUCUAUUUUCUUGCGAUUGAAUUAUGGUUGGUUGAUUUCUUUAUUUGAGACGAUUGCUUAAUCUGGACCUGGUACUGCUUAUCGAAAUUAUGGAGAGAGAAAUUAAAGAACUGAGGCGCCAGAGAGAUUUUGCACAAUCUCAAGUGGAUGAGUUGCAGAAAAAACUUCAAGAGGACCAAACGGCUUCAAGCACAUUGGAAUCAACACCACGUCCAUCAGUAAAGAACUGUCUCUCUCUCCUACGCUGAUGCAUUAUUAUGAAAACUUGAGAACAAGUAGAUAAACAGCUGCGACAGAGCAAGGAAAACUAUGGUAGGGCCAUCAUCAACUGCACCUUUUACUCUAAUGCAUGAAAUCCGAAAACUCGAACAUCUCAAGAGCAACUUGGAGCUCUAGAAGUAUUGCAAAAGGAAAGUCAUAGUCUAGGUGACCGAGAUGCAGCGUAGUCCAUUGCCAAGCUGCAAGAGAAAUGCAAUCUAUUCAAAAAAGAUUGUUGAUGCUGUUGAGAAGGAAGAAGAGGAGUUAGAGGAGGUGAGAUUGAUUUGGAUAUGGAACCAGGUGAGAAUGUUAAUAAUGGGGGAUGUUUUCAAUAUGAACAUUGAUGGAUUUUUUAUGAAGUUGCUUUGGAGAGUGUAACUAUAAAAAGAAAAUGAUGCUUUGGAGAGUGUAACUGUAAAAAGUAAGCAAAAUUUGCUCAUGUUCAACUUCUUGAUGAAGUUGUGGGUUGUGGGAUAAGUUGUUCUACAAGUGAUUUUUGUUUUGGUUUGUUGUAGAUCAUUUGAUGCAGUUUGUACAUUGGAGGGCUUGCAGGAAGUUGUUCUGGGAAAUAGCAUUUCCAAUAAAGAUGAUCUUAUUCAAUCGUCAUUCACUGCUGUUCGAGUGAUUAAUUCUGUUUUCUCCUCGAUGAACCAUAUAGUAAGAAAACAUAACAGGGACAGCUUUUCAAGAUGACAAUUUUUGUAAUACUUAUUCUUUCCUAUAGUGAAAGUUUUUACGUCACCAAUGUGGAAUAAUCCCUUAUGUUACAUAUUGUAGACUUCUUUCUCUGGUAAAUAGGUUCCUUCUCUUUUCACCCCUGAGCAUUCUGAAGUGUAAUUUCAAUCAUAGAUCUUGUUGUUUGCUUUGUUACUUGCUAUGGUAUUACUGUCACUUGGGUUGAUUUUCUGUCAUUAAGAAGUCUAGAAGUGGUAUAUGUUUCCGCAGAUUGAGAUCGUGCUUGCCUCUAGAGAUUCUUCUGGCGUUUUUCUGAGUUCUUAGAAGGAUAAUGAUGUGAUUGGUAAAAGUUCCGGUUACAGAACUGAAGGAGUUUCGAAUUUUAAUAAUAUGCUGAUCCAAGUUUCAAAUUUUAAGAAUAGAUCGGCUUUGUUUCCUUUAUUAGACCUCUACAAAGAUCAGAUGAGGUCAAAGUUUUAUCUUUCUUUUUAUGGUUUUUGCGGUACUUGCAUCUAUACCUCUACCAAUUGUAGCAGCUAUCUAUUUCAUCUAGACCAUAUUUAGACAGCUUUUGCUGGCCUUGGUUUCUGUUUAAGUUUUUUUGUAACCUGAACAGUUUCAGAUAGUACUAUAAUCAAAUAGGAUCAAAAUGUGGGUCAUGUUUCCACUGGUUUAUUAGACCUCCACAAAUAUCAGUACCCCAAUAGCCUAAACUUACAUGAACUGACACAUUGCUUACAGUUGUUAAUAUCCAAUGAAUGCUUAAAUUGAAUAUACCCUACCGGGACUCCAAGCUCACUCACAUAUUGCAGCACUCUCUCGGCAGGAAUGCACGAACUGCCAUCAUUUGUAAAUCAUAUACAAAAGGAAGUAACCAGGCUGGAAGCAUAACCAACUCUUGACCCUUCAAAGGAGAAAGACUUGAAAAGUUCAGCAGGUGAGUUUCAGCAGCUUAAUUGUUGUCCAGUGAGAAUGUGCCAUAUAUACAUCUCUUUAUUUGAAACGAGUUUAUCAAUUGCUUAAUCAAAACUGUAUAUUAUUAUGAUAAUUAGUCAAAAAAGGGCUUUUUAUGAAAAAAAGAUUAGGUGGAAAAUGAAUAGAUGGUAAUUAAUGUAACGAUCAAAAUAUUAAAGUUCAUCACUUGAUUUUUUAAUGGUUACCGAGUGAAACAUUUUAUUUUUGUGUUUGUUUAGCUUUUUAUGCGAGUGCAAGUACUAAAUUAACAGGUUGUGUUGCCUCCAAAGACAUGUUUAUUUUCUAUUAUUUAAUAUUAUUCUUAAUUUGCUUUCAA